UUCUUAUCGAUUCGAGUGGCAAACGGGUGAGUAACGCGUAAGCAACCUGCCCUUCAGAUGGGGACAACAGCUGGAAACGGCUGCUAAUACCGCAUAACACAUGGGUGUCGCAUGGCACUGAUGUCAAAGAUUUAUCGCUGAAAGAUGGCCUCGCGUCUGAUUAGCUAGUUGGUGAGGUAACGGCCCACCAAGGCGACGAUCAGUAGCCGGACUGAGAGGUUGAACGGCCACAUUGGGACUGAGAUACGGCCCAGACUCC
rnacentral:rRNA from 1 species